GACUAGGUAGUCAGGUUAACCUGGAUGAGCUAGUUGAAAGCCUGCCUAGCUAAGGCCUAAGGCUUUGAAAUAUUAAAAAGUGUGGUUAUUUGGUGAAUUAGCUAGUUAAGGAAUAAUUGCCACUGUGUUGAUUUCUAACAUUAAUUAAUAGAUAACAGAACACUAAUAAUCAUUUUACACUGGCAGACUUUGGGAGCGCUGUAGUAUGAAUGUCUGUGUCCUCUUAAACUUUGUGUCCUGACCCUAAACAACAGGGCAGUAAGAUUCAAGAUGAGGCCUUUAAGAGGGCUCUCAUGAAUGAGAUAACUAUUCCUUAGAAAAGGGAAGAGUGAGCAUGUGUCGGCCUUUCUGCAAUGUGAGGACAUGCCUACACGUUACCUAUAAAGGAAGAGUGUCACCAGACAUUGGAUACUCAGUCUUGGACUUCCAGAAUGUGUAAGUGGUGACACCAGAUAGCUGCCAAGAGGGGAACUGUAACCAGAGCUGGGGAGAAGCCCUGAGAACGUUACCAAAGAUGUGAAGCAAGACCACUGAGCCACACCUCCUUAAGCCUAUGUUAUUUCCCAUUAGUCCUUUGUAAGCAACGCAUGCCAUGAGAGCAAUAAACAGGCCCUCAGCUGUGAGCCCUCCUUGUCCCCAGAGCAACUAAGACAGGAGAGGUAAGUCCCACCCUCCAGA